GGAAGUUAGUCUUUGGAACUGGGGCAACUCCCAACAUUCCCCUCUCUUUGUUAUUAAAUGAGAGUGGGCAUAGACUCAUUCUGGCUGCUUCCUGCUGAGAUGGGUUGGUGUGAGAGAAUGAGAGGAGGGAAGUAAAGAUCCCCCACAGGAGGGCAGAGAAGACCUGUAUCAAUGAAGGUUCCUUGCCACCACAGAUCCAUGAUGAUGUCAGUCCAUUUGGCAUAGGUCUCGACUGGAGCCACCUGGUGAACAGAUAUUUUGCUGUAUUGUUACACUAUUGAAAAGGGAUGGAAAUGAGUAAGGAGAUUCUUAACACGACAGGCAUAAUGCUAGUUUUCAUUCUGCAAAAAAAGACCCAGGACUGCUGUGUUACAAUAGCACCACAUGGUAACCAAUGCCCCGUGAACAAACUCAGUCUUUGGAAUAUGAGCCAAGUUCUAGGUCAAUGAUCUCCUACUGCUUUAUUCUGAUCUUCCUGGUACUGAUUUCAUUUCUAACUGGGAAAACGUCAUUCAACAACAACAACAAAGUCUUUGCCUUGAGGAUUUAACCCAGAUGAACCCAGUUCCACAUGUCUUCAACAGAGUGAUAAAACCCUUGAUCUUUUGUUAUUUAAAGUCUGAUGUUCACAUAACUUCAGAUUAUUUUAUAUUAUAUAUGUGUUAAUUGAUUCUUGUAUAAGAACACAUAAAUUAAAGUCAUGGUGAUGAAAAAGCAUUUUAAAUAGAUGAUAAAAUGAAGUUUUCAAUAUACAUUCACAUAAGACAAGAAAUAAGAAAUGAAAAUGGAAAACUCCAGUACAUAAAGUCCUAAGAAUAAAAUACUAUCUUGAAACAUUAACUAUAGAGAUAAUAACAUAUGCACACAAGAAAAGUUGCAAAGAUAUGAUAAAAUAAAUCUACAAUUAUGCCUGCUUAUCAUUAUGUCAAGUUAACUAUAGUCUAAAUAUUAUUCUGUCUGCAUUUAAAUGAGUUGAAUAUCUAGAAGAUUUGUCCCAUAUAAGUUUAUUUCUCCUAUUUCUGUUAAACUAAAAUAUUGAAAAGUGCCAUGUAUGUGUACAUUGGUAAGAGGAAAUUUUUUUUGGUCUUUAUAUCAGAAAACUAAUUUGAGGAAGAAAAAAAUACUGGUAAUGAAGGAAAUUUAUUUGUGUACCCAAUUUUCAGUGUUUAUUUUUCAUCAGAAAACUUAAUUGAUGUUAUGUUUCAUUUAUUGAUUUCAUAUGAAAAAUUAGAUGCCUUUAAUUCCAUCAAAAAUGAAUGCCAGAAAGUUUUAGAUAAUACGCUUCUUUUCAUACAUUGUAAAGGACAAUGGAAAUGUAAUGCUAUUUUAUAUAGGACACACUGAAAAUAUGCCUCAAAAUUAUUCUUCGUACUAGUCAUUGGGUGCAAAUAUAAUUUCAAAAGUAACUGUUAAUUAGAAGUAACUAAAAGUAUUUAUUUAAAGAAUAGGUAAAAUCAAAGCAGUUGUUCCUUUUUAAAAUAAAGAUCCAUGUUGGGAAAAGAAGGAUAUGUGAGAACAGUAAUUUUUAUUGGAGAGUUCAUAAAUAUUUAGGACAUUUGCAGUUUCUCUGCUUUAU